UCGUGGGCGACUGCGAAUCCGAAGGAAGCUGGAGGCAAAUAUGGAGGGCUACGAACAGGAACUGUAUAUAAGGCGAGGUGAUAUGGGUGAUGUUGCAAGACAAACAAAAGCCUGAUACUGCACGGAUUAUCACUACGUAGAUGCAGAGGCCACAUCCACAGAAAGCGGAUUGC
rnacentral:ncRNA from 1 species